rnacentral:rRNA from 1 species
GUACACUCCUGCGGGAGGCAGCAGUGGGGAAUAUUGGACAAUGGGCGCAAGCCUGAUCCAGCCAUGCCGCGUGAGUGAUGAAGGCCCUAGGGUUGUAAAGCUCUUUCACCGGUGAAGAUAAUGACGGUAACCGGAGAAGAAGCCCCGGCUAACUUCGUGCCAGCAGCCGCGGUAAUACGAAGGGGGCUAGCGUUGUUCGGAUUUACUGGGCGUAAAGCGCACGUAGGCGGACUAUUAAGUCAGGGGUGAAAUCCCGGGGCUCAACCCCGGAACUGCCUUUGAUACUGGUAGUCUUGAGUUCGAGAGAGGUGAGUGGAAUUCCGAGUGUAGAGGUGAAAUUCGUAGAUAUUCGGAGGAACACCAGUGGCGAAGGCGGCUCACUGGCUCGAUACUGACGCUGAGGUGCGAAAGCGUGGGGAGCAAACAGGAUUAGAUACCCUUGUAGUCCCAUGAU